rnacentral:lncRNA from 1 species
UGGAUAGACACAGACAAAGCAGAAGAUACUGAAAAAGCAACUAAUUAUGGUUAUUAAAGAUUCAACAUCAUUCCACUAGCUGGAACAAUAUCUUUAGAACAAAGGGAUUGUAUGCUCAUAUUUGCCUCCUCUGCUAUUGGGAAAAGUUAACGCAUGGAAAAAGAAGCCAGCAGAGACAAAGCAUAUGAAUUGGCUGACUGCUAUACAGGAAAUCUCCUAAACAUCUGUUUUCAUAAUGUAUUUUCAUUAUAUGAGGCUGAAUUUAGAAUGACGUAAAAUAGGGCUGGGUCAUGUUAUAAGACAAAUGGACAGGGAGGGCAUGCUUCUCAAAAAAUGUGAGCUAUUGUCUAAGACUAACAAUAUUUAUCUAGCUAUAAAAAUAAGUUAAAUGAAUAAGUUAAGAUUGCCAAUGUUACUUCACAAUAAAUUCAGUCCUAUUUGUGUUGGAGUAAAUCUCAUAGAAGCACAUGAAGAACAGCAGUGAAACCAAGGAUUCUAGCAAGGCCAGCUAUUAGCAAAGCAGUAAGCAGGAACUGGACUAGAUACCAAAUGAUGGGGAAACAGACUCAUAGACCUAAGAACAUAGGAAGAAGAGAUGUAACAUCAACAGAAAGGCAAAAGGGGCAAUGCAGCAUCUCUGCCUUCUUCUGGGUAUUCCUCUUAAAUGGCUUGACAAUAACCACCAACCAGCACUGCCAUACAUGUGUCCUGUACCUAUCAGAGGCACUAGGGCAGUUUUGGAACAGAGAGCCCAUAGAAAGGCUACUGCUUAGAGAUAGCCAUUUUCUUCUUGGAGCUGGACCAGUGAAUUAGACGCAUGGAGGAGAGCUGGAAAAUCCCUUUUUGGAAGAGCUACACAAAACCAAAAUUUGGAAUUCGUAGCUAAUAACCAUAAAAAUUAAGAAAUGACUGUUGGAAGAGCACUGGAAAUCACCUGAUUAAGUUAAGAAAAACUAACUAGCUCAUGAGAAAAUUAUUUUCAGGCCAGCUGUAGCCUGUACCCUUUUGAAAAUCCCCUGACUAGUGAGUUCAUUUUUGUUGGAAUAUAGAAUUUUUCUUUUCUAAGCAGAUGUAAACUUGUCUUUCUGUGGUUGGCUUUGGAGCCCACAAGAUAAUUAAAUGGCAGUGCUAACUGAAAGCCUGGGCUGUGCUUAUAGGUUCAAGAGGCAGGUAGAAGACACUGGGUUGGGGAAGUAGGGCUAUGGAACUGUGGCUCUGGCUAAGAUUACUAAUGUCUGUGAGCGCUGGAAGAAGGGAAAUAGAAAUGAAAAAACAUGAAUAUGGUUGAUGGGCCAGACUGAGUGUUGAGGUCCUAUGAUGUAUCAAAGAAUGGCUUACAUGAAAGUUAUAAGGUGUGGAUGGAAAAGGUCAGUGUGGAAGAGAACAGAAUUACUAGCUUUAAAGCUCAGAGACAUCUGCUUUUCAGGAAAAAAAAA